rnacentral:rRNA from 1 species
GUUUGGUUAAGUUAGAAAGGGCGCACGGUGGAUGCCUUGACACUAGGAGUCGAUGAAGGACGGGACUAACGCCGAUAUGCUUCGGGGAGCUGUAAGUAAGCUUUGAUCCGAAGAUUUCCGAAUGGGGAAACCCACCAUACGUAAUGGUAUGGUAUCCUUAUCUGAAUACAUAGGGUAAGGAAGACAGACCCAGGGAACUGAAACAUCUAAGUACCUGGAGGAAGAGAAAGCAAAUGCGAUUUCCUGAGUAGCGGCGAGCGAAACGGAACAUAGCCCAAACCAAGAGGCUUGCCUCUUGGGGUUGUAGGACAUUCUAUACGGAGUUACAAAGGAACGAGGUAGACGAAGCGACCUGGAAAGGUCCGUCGUAGAGGGUAACAACCCCGUAGUCGAAACUUCGUUCUCUCUUGAAUGUAUCCUGAGUACGGCGGAACACGUGAAAUUCCGUCGGAAUCUGGGAGGACCAUCUCCCAAGGCUAAAUACUCCCUAGUGAUCGAUAGUGAACCAGUACCGUGAGGGAAAGGUGAAAAGCACCCCGGAAGGGGAGUGAAAGAGAUCCUGAAACCGUGUGCCUACAAAUAGUCAGAGCCCGUUAACGGGUGAUGGCGUGCCUUUUGUAGAAUGAACCGGCGAGUUACGAUCCCGUGCGAGGUUAAGCUGAAGAGGCGGAGCCGCAGCGAAAGCGAGUCUGAAUAGGGCGUUUAGUACGUGGUCGUAGACCCGAAACCAGGUGAUCUACCCAUGUCCAGGGUGAAGUUCAGGUAACACUGAAUGGAGGCCCGAACCCACGCACGUUGAAAAGUGCGGGGAUGAGGUGUGGGUAGCGGAGAAAUUCCAAUCGAACCUGGAGAUAGCUGGUUCUCCCCGAAAUAGCUUUAGGGCUAGCCUUAAGUGUAAGAGUCUUGGAGGUAGAGCACUGAUUGGACUAGGGGUCCUCAUCGGAUUACCGAAUUCAGUCAAACUCCGAAUGCCAAUGACUUAUCCUUAGGAGUCAGACUGCGAGUGAUAAGAUCCGUAGUCAAAAGGGAAACAGCCCAGACCGCCAGCUAAGGUCCCAAAGUGUGUAUUAAGUGGAAAAGGAUGUGGAGUUGCUUAGACAACUAGGAUGUUGGCUUAGAAGCAGCCACCAUUUAAAGAGUGCGUAAUAGCUCACUAGUCGAGUGACUCUGCGCCGAAAAUGUACCGGGGCUAAAUACACCACCGAAGCUGCGGAUUGAUACCAAUGGUAUCAGUGGUAGGGGAGCGUUCUAAGGACAGUGAAGUCAGACCGGAAGGACUGGUGGAGUGCUUAGAAG